GAAAAAUAGUCCGCUUAAGUUUCAUGAAAUUUAUUGAAAAAUAGCACCAUUUCCAUACCGCCAUUUUGCACCUUAUAAUUUCUCUCCCACGAGACCAAACACGACGAGAAAGCCCUAAUCUCCAUCUCCUCUCCUCCUGAAGAUGACGACCCCACAACAAUAGCAAAAUUAACGCCGCCGGUUUUCUCACCCCUAAUGCACUCUAUCAGUAGUCGUCUAUCCGGCGUAAGUUUGUCCAUUUAAUAUUAAAUUUGCAAUUCUCUUUAGACCUUAAUCUUUAUCGAUACAACUCAUAGUCUGGAAGAUUUUACUUUAGGGUUCCUUCACUAAUCAAUUUCACGCUGAAGACUUAGCAUGUUUAAUAUGGCUAUCGAAGCCAAUCGGGCAAUCAAUCACACUUCUUCAUUUAAUCAAAUGCGAUUUCAAUUUUUCAAACUCACAAAACCCAUUUCAAUAUGAUUUGAACUCAUACAAACAGAGAAUUGAAGAGUCACACUCAUACAGAAGAGUUACUUUUAAAUAUAUGGACGUUGUUGCAGUUUCUAUUUCUUGUACACCAAAACCAUGAAAAGUGUUCUAUGUGAGUGAUCAGGUGUUACUUUUUGUGGUAGGAAUGAAUUGUAAAUCUCAACAACAGGAAGGUAUAUGGAAAAUCCGUCUGACCUCAUUAAUUUUUUGUUUUUCACAAUUUUUCUUUUGUUUUUUACAAUGCAUAGGACUACAGGAGUCCCAAGUCUUAUGGAAACAUGGUUGCGAAAUACUUAAUUUAUGGUCCUUGAGGAAAGCAGUAUAGGUAUUGUAAGGUGAUUGGUUAAUUGCUUUGUUUUAGACAUGAUUGGAUAUUUGUUUAUGAUUUCAUACUUGUAAUUUCCAUCUUAACAAAUGCAUGCCAUUAAAUGUUUGCAGCAUAUGGUAAAAGAGGUCGACUAGUGUAGCAAUAUCCCACAACAUUUUUUGGUAUGCUUUUUUAAUAAGCUUUACAAUUUUCAGUUGUUGAUGUUAUACAUUAUACUUAAUAAAGAGGUUUUAUCUGUUUUUGUUACUAACAAUCCUUUGACAAAGUUGCCCCCUCAUUCUUCAAGAAAAGAAUCCAAUUGGUAUAUUGGUAUGCUUUUUAUUAAGCUUCCGUUUUAAGUGGUGACCAGUGUAGCAUCAUACUUCCAUUUGUUAUGCUUUUAUUUUUUUUCAAUGUAUUUGUUGGUUUAACAUUUUUUUUUCAAUUUAUUUAUAAUCCUAUUUUAAUUUUAUAUCUAGUAUUGGUUUAGUUAUUUUUUCAUUUUAUUUGUUGGUUCAGCUGAUCAUUAUGGAUACUACUUCCAUUUUCGAGACAGUAGUGUCUAACAUUAGUUUAGUUUUUCAAUGUAAUUGUCCAUUUUUUUUCAAUUUUGAAAAGCAAAUAUAGAAAUGUGAAAACUAUAACCAUAAGCAUGUUGGUAAGGAGGCUAUCAUUUUGUAAACACAUUAAAAAAAAUUAAUGCUUCAGGUUUGUAAAAAAUAUUAAAAUGAAAUAACAAGACCCGGUUGGAUAGCUAAAGCUGGUUCAUAUGAUCAAACAAAAUUAAAAUCUAACCUGCAUAAUAAAACCCGGUUCUGUGCAUGAUAACCGGGGUAUAUAUUGGUACAAAAGUGAUACUCAAAUGUAUGGAAAAAACUGGUUUUGUUCUUGGAAACCGGGUUGUAUUACUCAAAUAUGACCUGAUUGUAAAACCACGUCCUAUUAUGUUUUCCACAUAAGACUCGCUGCCGUUAAGACCCGGUUGAAAACCGGGUCUUUUAACUCAUAACCGGGUCAUUUAAGCAUUUUUGUAGUAGUUACUAAUUUAAUUUUCUUUAAUAAUUACAUUUGGUAUAACUUGAUAUAGUUCUAUAGUCUAAAUAUAACUUUGCUUCAAUUUAUAUAUAUUACUAGGCGUAACCUCGCGCGUUGCGCAAGAAUACAUUUAAGUGGUUAAAAUAAUUAUGGGAAAAAAUAGAAAUAUGUUGAAAUUUACAUUUUUAGUCAUGUUUUAGGCAUUAACCGAUUUAUCAAAUAACAUAAAAAUCCAUCAACUUAUAUUUUGAUACUAUUUAAUAUAGUCCAUACAUUCUAAACUUUACUUUUACUUUUAUAAUAUCCAAUAUAUAUUAUAAGUUUUUGUAUAACAUUAAUAUAAUCUACUUUUCUUAUGUCUGAUAAUAUUUUUUUGAUAAAAU
rnacentral:lncRNA from 1 species